UGCCUACAACAUAGCGUUAAUGAACUAGAUCCCAUUGGAACUCCGCAGUUAAGUGCGCUCAGGCUAGAGUAGUAUUGGGAUGGGUGACCGCUUGGGAAGUCCUAAUGUUUUAGAUGC
rnacentral:rRNA from 1 species